rnacentral:tmRNA from 1 species
GGGCCCGUAAAGGUUUCGACGGGGAUUUUGAGGUAUAAUAAGCGGGUAGAGCCGGGCAAUCUCUAUAAAGGCCUAAAUUAAAAAUAAACGCUAACAAUAAUAACGUAGCAAUGGCUGCCUAAGGGCAGUGCCGUGGCAUAAGCCACCCGUUCCUCCGAGUAGUAUCGCGGACUCGGACUGAGCGUCAAGUAAGCGGUGAACGUGCAUCGGCGGUUCGCCAUUGAACCGAUCACGCAAAAAAUGGCUACCCGAAUAAGCGGCUUGUCCGCCGACUGCUUAUAAGGGGAAAUCUAAUCGACGGAAUGCACCCGGAGAAGGUUAUAUCAAGAGGUUUUCGGACAGGGGUUCGACUCCCCUCGGGUCCACCA